AUUCCUAGAUCCUAUAAUUCUGAAAGAAAAAAAAUCAUUGAGAGGACACCACAUACCAUCCAAUACACAGCCAUGAACAUGUGGAGCCAAACAAUUGUGGUCUCUUUGGUAAUUAAACUCUCCACGCUUCAAAUCAUUGCAAGAACAAGUGUUUCUUCUCCCCAUCUGAACUGUGAAUUUUUUUUCUCCAUGUUUGCCAGUUUUGCUGACUCCGCAUGGAAAUAUUCUUUUUCC
rnacentral:lncRNA from 1 species